GACGAACGCUGGCGGCGUGCUUAACACAUGCAAGUCGAACGAAGUUGCGAACGGGUGAGUAAUACGUGGGUAACCUGCCCUCCUUUUUGGGAUAAGCCUUGGAAACGGGGGCUAAUACCGAAUAAAGGGGGAUGGGCUCGCGGCCUAUCAGCUUGUUGGCGGGGUGAUGGCCUACCAAGGCGGUGACGGGGAGCCGGCCUGAGAGGGGGACCGACGACGUUGGGACGGGGGUACGGCCCAGACUGCUAGGGGAGGCGGCAGUGGGGGGUAUUGCACAAGGGGCGAAAGCCUGAUGCAGCGACGCCGCGUGGGGGAUGAAGGCUUUCGGGUUGUAAACCUCUUUCGCAAUCGAAGGGGUAGGUGGAGAAGAAGCGCCGGCUAACUACGUGCCAGCAGCCGCGGUAAUAC
rnacentral:rRNA from 1 species